rnacentral:rRNA from 1 species
CCUACGGGAGGCAGCAGUGGGGAAUAUUGCACAAUGGGCGCAAGCCUGAUGCAGCCAUGCCGCGUGUGUGAAGAAGGCCUUCGGGUUGUAAAGCACUUUCAGCGGGGAGGAAGGCGGUGAGGUUAAUAACCUCAUCGAUUGACGUUACCCGCAGAAGAAGCACCGGCUAACUCCGUGCCAGCAGCCGCGGUAAUACGGAGGGUGCAAGCGUUAGUCGGAAUUACUGGGCGUAAAGCGCACGCAGGCGGUCUGUCAAGUCGGAUGUGAAAUCCCCGGGCUCAACCUGGGAACUGCAUUCGAAACUGGCAGGCUAGAGUCUUGUAGAGGGGGGUAGAAUUCCAGGUGUAGCGGUGAAAUGCGUAGAGAUCUGGAGGAAUACCGGUGGCGAAGGCGGCCCCCUGGACAAAGACUGACGCUCAGGUGCGAAAGCGUGGGGAGCAAACAGGAUUAGAUACCCCAGUAGUC